rnacentral:lncRNA from 1 species
GGGUUUCCCUGCUAUGUUUUGUCACACAUCAUUGCUGGGAGAGUUCAGUGCUAUCCAAGUGACUCCCCCGGGAGAGGACAACUGGAAAUUUAUGCCUGGUGUCUUCCUGGACUCCGACCUAUGCACCUUUUUCCUUGGAUGAUUUUAACCUGUCUCCUUUUGCUGCAAUGAACCAUAACCAUGAGUAUAUCAGCUUUUCUAAUUUUUGUGAGUCCCUCAAGUGAAUUAUCAAACCUAAGGUAGUUUUGGGACCCCCAUCACAGAGAGUCAAACAGGGGCAGGGCAAGAAGAGCUGCUUUUCCUGGAAGGCUAAUGAGUCUGAACUUCGCCCUGGAGGUAAUCGUUAUAGUAACUCCAGGCUCUAACCUGGAGCUGACAUGAUAAGGUCAAAUGUACACCUCUAGAAGACUUCCGACUGCAGAGGGGAAUGGAUGGGGGAGCUGAGGGAGGAGAGCUGAAGCAGGAAGACCAUGGCCUGGAAAGAGAUGGCUGAACCAGUCCAGAAUCACAAGAAAGGCAUCAGCACCUUCUGUGAAAUGGGGAGCCAUGCAGAGGAGGUGCCCAGGUGGCGAGGAGUCCAUGUCAGCUGCCGUCAUCCACACCACAGAUCAGACAUGGCAAAGAGUGGCCAGGCCUUCUGAGUGAAGGUGAUCCAACCUGUCACCAAGCCUAAGGGCAAAUCCUGGCUGUGCUGUGAUGGCUCCAACAACCCCAAACAGCAGCGCAGAGGCUGCAGCCGCCCUCGGAGGCAACACUGGGAAACGCUCAUUAGCAGCCUUCCAUUGCUCACCCGCCCCAUCCCACCUCUGUGCAUCCCAGAUCAUCAGCGAAGUGCACAGCUGGCUUCCAUCCUCGGAGCCUUCCUCCUUCAUUUGCCUAUUCAACAGUUACAAAGGCCUGAGUUGCAAAGGGGCUUACAACCCAUUCCACCCAGAAGAAAGAGAACUGAGACUGAGCAAGACAGAGAAUAGGUGGAAGGGGAGAUGAAACCAAGCAAUCUCUAGAUCCCAAAUGGGGACCCUGAUGUAGCAAGAGCCUCUUUUAAAUCCUUUUCCAAUAGGGUAAUAUGGAAAAUAGUUGAAAGCACAAGCCAAGUGGGGCUGGAAUCCCAAAUGGGCCAUUUACUAGCUGUGUGACUGGACAAGUAAUUUCAUAUUUCUGGGCCUCGAUUUUUCUCAUCUGUAAAAUAGAAAAAAAAAAACCUAUGUCAUAACGUUGAUAAACAGAUUAGAUGAGCUAAGAUCUAAAAUGUCUUCUAUUCAGUAGGUGCUCAAUAAAUGUUAUCUAUUUUUA